GGUAUUGGUCACUGCUCGUUUUCUUCGUCUUUCAUCCUGGAGAAUACUAGAACAGAAAAUGUUAAGAGCUUAUCUACGAGAAAACCAUGCAAACAUAAAAUUGAAGGAAAUGGGGGUCAUAAAUAUCACUUCUAAUCAUUUAUAUCAUUUGAUUAUAUGGUUGCAAUAAUUAUAAGUUGAGGUCAAUUUAUUGAUAGGUCGUUUCUAUGUUUAGUGAGUGCAUUCUGUAUUUAUAUGUUGAACACAGGAAAAAAUCCCUAAAUAUCAGUGCUUUAGUUUUUCGAAAAUGCAAAUCAAUUCUGAAGAAUUAUGAAAAGAAUUGAUUUUUAAAGAUAUUUCCAUCUGACCCACUUAUGGAGAAAUCAUGUUGGAUAUCGUAAGUAUCCAUAUAGAAAUUUCAUUGAGCCUUUAAUUUUGCAUUUUGUCAAACUUCUUCAUAUUGUCUUAUAUUGUCAAUUUUAAAAUAGGUGUUGCUGCAAAAGUAACCUUUAUAUAACUUUAAAACUGCAUAAUACUUAAAUAUCAAAUCCUUGUCUGGAAAAUAUUUAAAAAAAAAAUGUAUUGUAGACUUGUCGCCGUUCAUUUGCAAUUAAAAUUCAUAAACUGACAAAAAAAGAUAUAUGUGAGCCGCCACGACAAAAGCAGGCUUGUUGAGUUUUACGUCAUAAUUGAGAAAAGGACGUUAAAAGAAAUGUAAAACAUUACGUUGUUUUGCUGGGUUUUUUCACGUUGUUGAUUAUCAUUAUGUGCUAUACCGAGCUGCAUUCUUUGUUUCGUUUGGUAAUAUGAAAUGAUUGAUAUUGCACUUUUAAAUUUUUUAAUGCAAACUUGUAAAAAUAGUAUAAAGUCAAAGACUCAUAAAAAUCAUAUCGGUAAAAGACUGACUGUAGUACUGCACAAUGUAGUGAGAUAAAAUGUCGGCCUACUUAUGCACGUUAUAGCAUUCAUGUUUCGUAGACUUUUGCCAUGGACACAUACUAUACACAGUUAUUCUAUGACUUAAAUGCAUAAUACAUACAUUUAAAAAUUACUUUAAAAGUUGUUUUUCUUGUUUAGUCGGACUUGUGGAAAACGAAAGUAGCAACUUCGCGGGUGUUGUGGACACGCGAUGCGGAAUAUGGAAUGAAAUGUCAUGACUUGAAUUUUUGUUCUAACCAUCAUGGCAUGAUCUACAAAUUUAUGCACAUAGUUUAUCAAUAGGAUCAUUAUUUUUGUUGUAUAUGUUUCUGUGCAAGUGGAUAGAGCUGUAAUGUUUCAUUAGUUAUACAAGGAUAUCGAGAAAACUACAUGUAUUGUGAUUCUGUUAACAAUGGUAAUGAUUUUCAUGCAUAUUUUAUGAAUUUGGAAACAUAUUACAACUCCACUUUAAAACAUAGGUUUUGAUUUAAACCAUGCCUGAUUAAUAAAUAUAAAAAAUUAUGUAUAACUCCCACAACCUGUUGCGGACAUCAAUCGUCAUUUCACUGCGGUCCAUCAUUUUAAUGUUGUCUCUUGUGAUCUGAUAUUUCGAGUAUACAAGUAACAAAAGAGUUCAGGAUUAUAUGCAUUGAAAC